AUAGCUGGUUCUCUCCGAAAUAGCUUUAGGGCUAGCCUCAAGUGAUGAUUAUUGGAGGUAGAGCACUGUUUGGACGAGGGGCCCCUCUCGGGUUACCGAAUUCAGACAAACUCCGAAUGCCAAUUAAUUUAACUUGGGAGUCAGAACAUGGGUGAUAAGGUCCGUGUUCGAAAGGGAAACAGCCCAGACCACCAGCUAAGGUCCCAAAAUAUAUGUUAAGUGGAAAAGGAUGUGGCGUUGCCCAGACAACUAGGAUGUUGGCUUAGAAGCAGCCAUCAUUUAAAGAGUGCGUAAUAGCUCACUAGUCGAGUGACACUGCGCCGAAAAUGUACCGGGGCUAAACAUAUUACCGAAGCUGUGGAUUGUCCUUUGGACAAUGGUAGGAGAGCGUUCUAAGGGCGUUGAAGCAUGAUCGUAAGGACAUGUGGAGCGCUUAGAAGUGAGAAUGCCGGUGUGAGUAGCGAAAGACGGGUGAGAAUCCCGUCCACCGAUUGACUAAGGUUUCCAGAGGAAGGCUCGUCCGCUCUGGGUUAGUCGGGUCCUAAGCUGAGGCCGACAGGCGUAGGCGAUGGAUAACAGGUUGAUAUUCCUGUACCACCUAUAAUCGUUUUAAUCGAUGGGGGGACGCAGUAGGAUAGGCGAAGCGUGCGAUUGGAUUGCACGUCUAAGCAGUAAGGCUGAGUAUUAGGCAAAUCCGGUAAUCGUUAAGGCUGAGCUGUGAUGGGGAGAAGACAUUGAGUCUUCGAGUCGUUGAUUUCACACUGCCGAGAAAAGCCUCUAGAUAGAAAAUAGGUGCCCGUACCGCAAACCGACACAGGUAGUCAAGAUGAGAAUUCUAAGGUGAGCGAGCGAACUCUCGUUAAGGAACUCGGCAAAAUGACCCCGUAACUCGGGAGAAGGGGUGCUCUUUAGGGUUAACGCCCAGAAGAGCCGCAGUGAAUAGGCCCAAGCGACUGUUUAUCAAAAACACAGGUCUCUGCUAAACCGUAAGGUGAUGUAUAGGGGCUGACGCCUGCCCGGUGCUGGAAGGUUAAGAGGAGUGGUUAGCUUCUGCGAAGCUACGAAUCGAAGCCCCAGUAAACGGCGGCCGUAACUAUAACGGUCCUAAGGUAGCGAAAUUCCUUGUCGGGUAAGUUCCGACCCGCACGAAAGGCGUAACGAUUUGGGCACUGUCUCAACGAGAGACUCGGUGAAAUCAUAGUACCUGUGAAGAUGCAGGUUACCCGCGACAGGACGGAAAGACCCCGUGGAGCUUUACUGUAGCCUGAUAUUGAAAUUCGGCACAGCUUGUACAGGAUAGGUAGGAGCCUUUGAAACGUGAGCGCUAGCUUACGUGGAGGCGCUGGUGGGAUACUACCCUAGCUGUGUUGGCUUUCUAACCCGCACCACUUAUCGUGGUGGGAGACAGUGUCAGGCGGGCAGUUUGACUGGGGCGGUCGCCUCCUAAAAGGUAACGGAGGCGCUCAAAGGUUCCCUCAGAAUGGUUGGAAAUCAUUCAUAGAGUGUAAAGGCAUAAGGGAGCUUGACUGCGAGACCUACAAGUCGAGCAGGGUCGAAAGACGGACUUAGUGAUCCGGUGGUUCCGCAUGGAAGGGCCAUCGCUCAACGGAUAAAAGCUACCCCGGGGAUAACAGGCUUAUCUCCCCCAAGAGUUCACAUCGACGGGGAGGUUUGGCACCUCGAUGUCGGCUCAUCGCAUCCUGGGGCUGUAGUCGGUCCCAAGGGUUGGGCUGUUCGCCCAUUAAAGCGGUACGCGAGCUGGGUUCAGAACGUCGUGAGACAGUUCGGUCCCUAUCCGUCGUGGGCGUAGGAAAUUUGAGAGGAGCUGUCCUUAGUACGAGAGGACCGGGAUGGACAUACCUCUGGUGUACCAGUUGUCGUGCCAACGGCAUAGCUGGGUAGCUAUGUGUGGACGGGAUAAGUGCUGAAAGCAUCUAAGCAUGAAGCCCCCCUCAAGAUGAGAUUUCCCAACUUCGGUUAUAAGAUCCCUCAAAGAUGAUGAGGUUAAUAGGUUCGAGGUGGAAGCAUGGUGACAUGUGGAGCUGACGAAUACUAAUCGAUCGAAGACUUAAUCAAAA
rnacentral:rRNA from 1 species